GGGGAAUCUUGCGCAAUGCGCGAAAGCGUGACGCAGCAACGCCGCGUGGAUGAAGAAGGCCUUCGGGUUGUAAAGUCCUUUCAGUUGGGACGAAGGUUGUGCGGUGAAUAGCCGUUAUGACUGACGGUACCUUCAGAAGCAGCCCCGGCUAACUACGUUCCAGCCGCCGCGGUAAUACGUAGGGGGCAAGCGUUGUCCGGAAUCAUUGGGCGUAAAGCGCGUGUAGGCGGUUCGAUAAGUCUGCUGUGAAAGUCCAGGGCUCAACCCUGGGAUGCCGGUGGAUACUGUCGGGCUAGAGUGCGGAAGAGGCGAGUGGAAUUCCUGGUGUAGCGGUGAAAUGCGCAGAUAUCAGGAGGAACACCAAUUGCGAAGGCAGCUCGCUGGGACGUAACUGACGCUGAGACGCGAAAGCGUGGGGAGCAAAC
rnacentral:rRNA from 1 species